GAGUUUGAUCAUGGCUCAGAACGUACGCUGGCGGCACGCCUAACACAUGCAAGUCGAACGAAGUAGCAAUACUUAGUGGCAGACGGGUGAGUAACAUGUAGGUAUCUGCCCUUUGGCCUGGAAUAACACGAGGAAACUUGUGCUAAUACCGGAUAAGUCUUUACAGAGAAAGCUUUAUGCACCAUUGGAUGAGCCUGCACUUGAUUAGUUUGUUGGUGGGGUAAUGGCCUACCAAGACUGUGAUCAAUAGCUGAUUUGAGAGGAUGAUCAGCCACAUCGGGACUGAGACACGGCCCAAACUCCUACGGGAGGCAGCAGUGGGGAAUCUUGCACAAUGGAGGAAACUCUGAUGCAGCGAUGCCGCGUGAGUGAAGAAGGCCCUUGGGUUGUAAAGCUCUUUCGUCGGGGAAGAAAAUGACUGUACCCGAAUAAGAAGGUCCGGCUAACUUCGUGCCAGCAGCCGCGGUAAUACGAAGGGACCUAGCGUAGUUCGGAAUUACUGGGCUUAAAGAGUUCGUAGGUGGUUGAAAAAGUUAGUGGUGAAAUCCCAGAGCUUAACUCUGGAACUGCCAUUAAAACUUUUCAGCUAGAGUAUGAUAGAGGAAAGCAGAAUUUCUAGUGUAGAGGUGAAAUUCGUAGAUAUUAGAAAGAAUACCAAUUGCGAAGGCAGCUUUCUGGAUCAUUACUGACACUGAGGAACGAAAGCAUGGGUAGCGAAGAGGAUUAGAUACCCUCGUAGUCCAUGCCGUAAACGAUGUGUGUUAGACGUUGGAAAUUUAUUUUCAGUGUCGCAGGGAAACCGAUAAACACACCGCCUGGGGAGUACGACCGCAAGGUUAAAACUCAAAUGAAUUGACGGG
rnacentral:rRNA from 1 species